AACAGCUCUAAGUGGGCCAUUUUUGGUAAGCAGAACUGGCGAUGAGGGAUGAACCUAGCAUUGGGGUAAAGUGCUUGACUGCUCGCUCAUGUGACACCACAAAGGGUGUUGGUUCAUACUGACAGCAGGACGGUGGUCAUGGAAGUUGAAAUCCGCUAAGGAGUGUGUAACAACUCACCUGCCGAAUGAACUAGCCCUGAAAAUGGAUGGCGCUGAAGCGGGUCACUUAUACUCCACCACUGGCGCAAAGGCUUGGCGCCAGUGAGUAGGAGGGCGUGAAGGUUGUCGUGCAGCUCGUGGCGCGAGCCAGAGUGAAACGGCCUUUAGUGCAGAUCUUGGUGGU
rnacentral:rRNA from 1 species